rnacentral:rRNA from 1 species
CACAAGCGGUGGAGCAUGUGGUUUAAUUCGACGCAACGCGAAAACCUUACCUGGGCUUGACAUGUUGGUAGUAGUGCACCGAAAGGGAAACGAUCCUGAGCAAUUAGGAAGCCAACACAGGUGCUGCAUGGCUGUCGUCAGCUCGUGUCGUGAGAUGUUGGGUUAAGUCCCGUAACGAGCGCAACCCUUACCUUUAUUUGCCAUCAUUGAGUUGGGCACUCUAAAGGAACCGCUCCGGUUAACGGGAGGAAGGUGGGGAUGACGUCAAGUCCUCAUGGCCUUUAUGCCCAGGGCUACACACGUGCUACAAUGGCCAGUACAAAGGGCUGCAAAUCCGUGAGGGUGAGCAAAUCCCAAAAAGCUGGUCUCAGUUCGGAUUGGAGUCUGCAACCCGACUCCAUGAAGUCGGAAUCGCUAGUAACCGCAGAUCAGCGUGCUGCGGUGAAUACGUUCCCGGGCCUU